GUCAUUUUCCUUACCCAGAGAUUUCUGUUCCUGUUGUGUCCCCGUUGUUUGUCCUGUCCUGUGUCACGGGUGUCUGCACACAUUUGUGCUGGAGCUGCUCUGCCUUGCUGCAUAGCCUGGUGCAAUAGGAGAAGUCCCGGGGACUUGAUGUUUGUAAUGUGGGGUGUCGUUGGACUCUAGGUGGGAUUUGUAGAUGGGCACAAGAUGUCUGGAGCUCUUAAGUUAUCCUGCAGCUCUUUGAUUUUUGUCCUUUCUUUCAGGUGCAGAAGGAUGAAAUCCAGGGCAGAGCCCCUCAUCCCGGGUGAGGGGAUUCCCCCGAGCAGGAAGUCAAGGCCAAGUGGGCGAGGUGGUCCACUUGCCAUCUAUCCUGGCCGGGCAUGCCCAUUCCAGCUGUGUG